AUCGAGUUUGCUUUUAAAUUAGUAAUGCUAAUAAAAAUAGGCUUGUCAAUUUUUGGGCUCUAAAGCUAAAGCAAAUAUAUAUCUACAAUUCUAAGAUGGAGAAGACACUAAUGAAAUAAGAAAUUUCAAUAAAAAAGAGACGGCUUAUGCGUAGGUGUUGAAACGGA